UACGAAGGGGGCUAGCGUUGCUCGGAUUGACUGGGCGUAAAGGGCGCGUAGGCGGAUAGUACAGUCAGGCGUGAAAUUCCUGGGCUCAACCUGGGGGCUGCGUUUGAUACGUGUUGUCUGGAGUUCGGAAGAGGGUCGUGGAAUUCCCAGUGUAGAGGUGAAAUUCGUAGAUAUUGGGAAGAACACCGGUGGCGAAGGCGGCUCACUGGCCCGGUACUGACGCUGAGGCGCGAAAGCGUGGGGAGCAAACAGG
rnacentral:rRNA from 1 species